GGCCUGUACAUUGCACUCCGUAUGGGCUGACUCCUGCGACUACCCCCAAUCGGGGUGGCUCGAGCGCAUAAUUUUUGGUAGUGGGACAAGCGUUCGCGCUGUCCCUU
rfam:Macrostomum lignano uti_cns_0048627, whole genome shotgun sequence.